AGUGAACGCUGGCGGUGGGCUUAACACAUGCAAGUCGAACGGAAGCGCCCUACAUGUUUGCUCUUCCGGGGGGGCGAUGGGGUGAGGAAGAGGAAAGUAUCGUACCCUACUUUUUGGUGGGGGUUCAGGAAGGGAAGCUUACUAUAGUACCGCAUCCCCCCUAGGGUGGAAGGCGGGGGAAAUUCUCGCCUUGCGGGGUUGAACGCGCGGCUGUCGGGUUUGCUGGUUGGCGGGGUAAAGGCCUACCCAGGGGAGGAUCCGUAGCUGGACUGAGAGGAUGGUCAGCCACACGGGAAGUGAGACACGGUCCAGACUCCUACGGGAGGCAGCAGUGGGGAAUAGUGGACAAUGGGCGCAAGCCUGAUCCAGCCAUACCGCGUGGGUGAAGAAGGCCUUCGGGUUGUAAAGCCCUUUUGUUGGGAAAGAAAAGCAUCAGGUUAAUACCCCGCUGUACUGACGGUACCCAAUGAAGAAGCACCGGCUAACUUCGUG
rnacentral:rRNA from 1 species